rnacentral:tRNA from 1 species
GUCCAGCUAGCUCAGUCAGUAAAGCAUGAGACUCUUAAUCUCAUGGUAGUAGGAUCAGGACCCAUGUUGUAUG